UGACUCCACGCCCACAUCUUACAGAUGAGGAAACUGAGCACAAGGGGGAUAAGUCACCCAGCUUGGAGCUCAUCAUCAUAAAAGGCACCAUCACGAUGGCAGUGCUUGCCCCACUUCCCCUGGAGGCUUCCCCCGUUUCUACGAUCCCAGGAAGAUUCCACUGCAUGCCCGAAGCUCCCCAUCUUCACUUACUGAAACCAAAGACCCUUUCAAACUUAUAUUCAUUUAGCUCAAACAGCUGACAACAGUGAAAAUGUAAUCGUCCCUGGGAGGACCCACUACGGCCUAAUCCUAUCAGUACUAUAAAUAUAGGAUAUGAAGCUCUUA